rnacentral:rRNA from 1 species
AGUGAACGCUGGCGGUAGGCCUAACACAUGCAAGUCGAACGGCAGCACAGUAAGAGCUUGCUCUUACGGGUGGCGAGUGGCGGACGGGUGAGGAAUACAUCGGAAUCUACUUUUUCGUGGGGGAUAACGUAGGGAAACUUACGCUAAUACCGCAUACGACCCACGGGUGAAAGCAGGGGAUCUUCGGACCUUGCGCGAUUGAAUGAGCCGAUGUCGGAUUAGCUAGUUGGCGGGGUAAAGGCCCACCAAGGCGACGAUCCGUAGCUGGUCUGAGAGGAUGAUCAGACACACUGGAACUGAGACACGGUCCAGACUCCUACGGGAGGCAGCAGUGGGGAAUAUUGGACAAUGGGCGCAAGCCUGAUCCAGCCAUACCGCGUGGGUGAAGAAGGCCUUCGGGUUGUAAAGCCCUUUUGUUGGGAAAGAAAAGCAGCAGGUUAAUACCCCGCUGUUCUGACGGUACCCAAAGAAUAAGCACCGGCUAACUUCGUG